rnacentral:rRNA from 1 species
GUGCCAGCAGCCGCGGUAAUACGGAGGAUGCAAGCGUUAUCCCGAUUCAUUGGGUUUAAAGGGUGCGCAGGUGGGAAAAUAAGUCAGUGGUGAAAUACUGCCGCUUAACGGUAGAAUUGCCAUUGAUACUGUUUUUCUUGAGUAUGGUUGAGGUAGGUGGAAUGUGUUGUGUAGCGGUGAAAUGCAUAGAUAUGACACAGAACGCCGAUUGCGAAGGCAGCUUACUAAGCCAUUACUGACGCUGAGGCACGGAAGCGUGGGGAUCGAACAGGAUUAGAUACCCUGGUAGUCCACGCCGUAAACGAUGCUCACUCGCUGUUUGCGAUAUACAGCAAGCGGCUGAGCGAAAGCAUUAAGUGAUCCACCUGGGGAGUACGAUCGCAAGGUUGAAACUCAAAUAAAUUGACGGG